UACGAAGGGGGCGAGCGUUGUUCGGAAUUACUGGGCGUAAAGGGCGCGUAGGCGGCGAUCCGAGUCAGAUGUGAAAGUCCUGGGCUUAACCUGGGGACUGCAUUUGAUACUGGAUUGCUUGAAUGCAGGAGAGGAUAGCGGAAUUCCCAGUGUAGAGGUGAAAUUCGUAGAUAUCAGGAGGAACACCGGUGGCGAAGGCGGCCAUCUGGACGACUACUGACGCUGAGGCGCGAAAGCGUGGGGAUCAAACAGG
rnacentral:rRNA from 1 species